UGCCAGCCGCCGCGGUAAUACGGAGGGGGCGAGCGUUAUUCGGAAUCAUUGGGCGUAAAGGGCGCGUAGGCGGCCCGGCAAGCCAAGGCUGAAAUCCCGGAGCUCAACUCCGGAACUGUUCUUGGAACUGCCGAGCUUGAGAUGGUUAGAGGCGGGUGGAAUUCCUGGUGUAGGGGUGAAAUCCGUAGAUAUUCGGAGGAACACCAGUGGCGAAGGCGGCUUUCUGGACCGAUACUGACGCUGAGACGCGAAAGCGUGGGGAGCAAACAGGAUUAGAUA
rnacentral:rRNA from 1 species